rnacentral:rRNA from 1 species
UACGGAGGGGACUAGCGUUGUUCGGAAUUACUGGGCGUAAAGCGCACGUAGGCGGAUUUGUAAGUCAGGGGUGAAAUCCCUCAGCUUAACUGGGGAACUGCGUCUGAUACUGGAUGGCUUGGAUCCGGGAGAGGGAUGCGGAAUUCCAGGUGUAGCGGUGAAAUGCGUAGAUAUCUGGAGGAACACCGGUGGCGAAGGCGGCAUCCUGGACCGGUAUUGACGCUGAGGAGCGAAAGCCAGGGGAGCAAACGGG